rnacentral:rRNA from 1 species
GACGAACGCUGGCGGCGUGCCUAAUACAUGCAAGUCGAGCGAGCGGAACCAACAGGUUUACUUCGGUAAUGACGCUGGGAAAGCGAGCGGCGGAUGGGUGAGUAACACGUGGGGAACCUGCCCCCUAAGUCUGGGAUACCAUUUGGAAGCAGGUGCUAAUACCGGAUAAUAAAGCAGAUCGCAUGAUCAGCUUUUGAAAGGCGGCGUAAGCUGUCGCUAAGGGAUGGCCCCGCGGUGCAUCAGCUAGUUGGUAAGGUAACGGCUUACCAAGGCGACGAUGCAUAGCCGAGUUGAGAGACUGAUCGGCCACAUUGGGACUGAGACACGGCCCAA